GAAAAGCACUGUCUUCAUGUCAGUGAGUUGGAUUUACUGUCUGGAUUCUCUGUCAAUAUUAUUUGCUAGACUUCAGUCUAGCUGUAACUGAUUUAUAAUAGCGGUGAGUUAAGAUUUAAAAAGCACCGUGAUCUGGAGUGCUAACAAAACUACAGUUAUGACAGAGUGAGACAUCAAGGGGAAAUAAUCCCUGCAAUCAUGCAAAGCCCAGUGUAGAGACCAAGGGCAGGCUGUCAUGCAUUUACUGAGACAGUGCUGAGCCCAGUGCUUACUAAGUAAAUAGGUGAAUGUCUUUAGGGGUCCUAGAAACCCCAAAUUCCCCAUGAGAUUGAUAGUAGUGAUGUUGAGGUAUAUGUCAGAAACUGUGUGUUCGGAUGAUUGAGAAAUUCUAGGGACAAUGCAAGAUGCUGAGGGCUUCAAAAGUGGUACUGGUGACAGCUUAUUCUGGUGACUGUUCUGUAGUGAACAGGUAAGCCUCAGAAUCUUGUAUCACAGAAGGCUUGCUAUGAAGAACUGAUUUCUCUCAUAGCCUCCAAAAUUAUUCUUGUUUUACCUAGUUUUAUGUUGAGGUAGCUCAGCAAACAAGAGAAUACUCCGGGCUCCUCCAGAGAUGCUUCCAUAUUACAUUAAAGUCAGUCUGAAUAAUUCUACCCCUCUACUCUUUCCCACCUCAGUUCACCUGCUGCAAAGCUUCAGCUCUUUCCAGCUAAAUGACAUGGCAUAUCAGCAAUCACUUCCUCUGGAGAUCAACCUCAAAUCAAACUCCCUUCAUUUGCGACCAUAUUGAAUAGCUACCUUUGGGCUUCUGAGGCUAUGGAUGUUUUCUAUGCUUGUAUUUAAAAACCUGGACUUGCCUUUGCAAUCUUUCAGGGACUCUUUUGGUCAUAUUUCUGCCUAUGUUGAGGCAUUGACCCAAAAAGGGGAAAUUAAAAUUUUCACAUAACCCAGCAGUAUUAUCUGCAAUAGCGCCACUUACUAAGAGGAUCCUGAAUCACUGACUCCUCCAGAAAUUGCCAAAGAUUUUGCUGCUAGAGUUUUGCUACCAUGAGCCAGGCAACCUGUGAUUGGACCUCCCAAAUGUGGGCUGCAUAGGAUGGUCUAGCAAAAGCUGCUUUCUGCACAAUCCUAUAUGAGUGCUUCUCAUUCUGAUGUGGGAGUAAUCAGGGUAUAGAGGCCGUGUGGGGGUCUUCUGCUACAAAUCUAGUUUUGUGUUGCAUUAGUAGGAUACAGUAUUAGUAGUAAUCAAAAGCAGAAUUAACUUUGAGUGGGUGGCUUUGCCGCUCAUCCAUGUGAACUCGUUUUCAUCUGUAUAUAAGUCUGAGCUGAUAUUUGCAUUGUAGUUAAUGCUACUUGAUUUUCAUAGCAGGCAAGGGGGUCACACCAAGCGUAACACAGGGCUGCCUUGUUUGGGGGUUGUCUGUGCAAGACUGUGGGUGUUUUGCUCAGAAGAGAAGUCCUUGAGCAUGAAGUGCUAAAGGUAGCUGUGAAAGGUGAGUAUGAAAAUCUCACCUACUGUAUCUUUUUGAAUUUUUUUUUUUACAGACUUUUUCAGGGAAAUGGGGCUAGUUUCUUUCCCUUGGCCAAAACAGGAGGAGUUCCUUUUCCUUUUUCUGAAGCAUUCAGGAGCCUGACCAUUCAAUUUCUCAUCUUUGCAAGCCUCUAAACUUUUGAGAUUGAGUGGCAUAGUCAGCAGCAACACAACUCAUCUCUGGUAUGCUAGGCGGGAGGCCAACAUAAGAGUCUGAGAAUCUGUUGAGCAAGCAGAAUUUAAAUGGCCCUGCCCAGGUUGCAGACAAAAAUAGAUACAUAUACAUUCAGUGUGAGAAAAGGUAGGGUUUUUUUUUGCUGUUGCCCCAUGCUAGUUUUGGAAUUUUGGGGUUACCCACACUUACAGAUCUCAUCAUACCAAAAUUAUAAAAUGCAAAAUUAUUUGACUAUUUUCUAUGUCAAAAAGAGAAUGUGUUAAAAACAAGUCACAGACAAUUCUUUUCCUGUAAAGGUUAGGGAUCCUCAAUGUACAUUCAGAGCCAUACACACAAGUGCAAAUAAGUCAACUACCACAGCUAUUUAAUCAGGAGCGUUUGUUGAUUUGAGCAGAGCCCCUAUGCUGUGAAAUGAAAAAAGAAAACCAAAUUUUCUUGAGCAAUCUUGCUGUUCCUGCUUCAGGUGCUAGGCCAUUUCACUAAAGCAGCUCAGACGAGAAUGUCAUUAGUUCCUAAGCCCCAGGUGAAUUUGCCACUGUUCCACAUGAUUAAGCCAGAUAAUUGUGUGUUGAUAGCGAAUGUGGUUGGUGAAAUACAAUUUCUAGGACCUUCCUAAACAAACACAAUGUAGAAGUGAGUCAAAGUGCUGUCAUUUCAGUCCUUUGUCACAGGCUUUGCACUUGCAGACAUCUCUGGUGAGGACGGGCAAAUAAUUCUGUGGCGUGUCACUGUGCUCUUAAAGGUGACCUGGCUCAGAAAGUGGAUCAUACGUCUUUUGGCAUGCAGUUUAGGGGAGGAGAGGGAAAAAGGCCUCGCUAAUGUGCCCAUGAACAACGCAGACUUCUAACUCUAGCCCAUUUUAAACUAUGCCUGCUGGAGAUUGCUUUGUCUUCAAAUAACUUUACAAUUCCAGUCAAUACUUUCAGAAGUGAUUAAAAUGCCACAGCAAUGUGCAAUUAUAUAUCAUGAGAAGCAAGUAAGUGAAAAGUUUUUAAGAGCUAUUUGAAAGUGUUUCUCUAUCAGGGCGAUGCAGACCCAGUAAACAAACUUCUGUAUCCUGUCUCUGCUUACUUUCUCUGUAACCUUGAGUGGGUAACUAGAGAUUUGAUUUUUGACCCUGAUUCUAGAAGAGGCAGAACACUAUAUCUGAAUUACUUUUUUUUUAGAUUUUAGGUAGCUAUUCAAUGGCAGUGGUCACUUUAGUAGGCACAGUACCGCCCUUCUGCUCUCUUGGCCACUUGUUUCUUCCCUGGUGCUGUACUGGCACAAACAUGUACAUGGUGAGUCACAGCUGGGGACUGACUUGGCUGAAACACAGGUUCCUUUGUGCCCAAAGAAAGGUAUUUUUUCAGCAUAUUUAGUUCUCUGAUCCUGUCUACCACAUGGCUCACCAGCAUUUGUGCAAGAUGUAGGGGGUCAGAACAAACAAACAUGUUUAAGGCCUUGGAAAGGGAGAAGGGGAAAGCAAGGGGGUUAAUUAUAUUGGCACUGCUGCCAAAAGCCAGUUAUGAUUUUACUUGUAAAAAAAGAGCAGAUAAUACUCAGGUUGGCAUUGUGGGGAUUAUAUGUUGUAGUAGCAUCCUCUGACAUCUCUAGAUGGAGGGCAUUAGCGGAUUGAUUCUACACACUUAAUGCUGGUUGCAAGAUGUGCAAAGUGACUAACUCUUCAUAAAAGAAUCCACUUUUAUAAAAGGAAAAAACCAGAAAGAGUCGUAAGAAAAGCUGAUUUUCCUUUUUACCCAUCAUAUACCUUCCGUAUCUGGCAGUGCCAGGAAGAAAUGGUCUUUGACUUUUACGCUGCAUUUUUUCCCUAGUUACCAUGCUUAUUGGAAGCUGGGAAAGGUGGAAUUGCUUCUGAGACAAAGUGAUGCCUCCAAAACACACUGUGUGUGUUUAUCCUUGAGAUGCACAUUAUGAGUCCACUGGACUUUGCACAGCAGCCUUUAAAACAAAUAUCAAAUAAAAACAUGUGUGCAUGCACGCACGCAUGUGUAUUUGUUUGUAUGUGCAUGCAUACUUGUAUCUGUAUCUUACCUAUAAAGAUGUGUUUGUCAAUUAAAAGGAGAAUAUAAGCAGGGAAAGGAAAGGACUAGACGUGCAGGAAAAAAAAAGAAGGCUCCUUGCUUUUUUGAAUACUUUAGAAACAUUUUUCAGAUCAUUAUUUUUAACUCUCUCAUUUAAUUCAAUAAGCAGCCAUAUAUUAUGUACAAUCAGAAUCCUGUAGUAUUCCCUGGCAGUCAUUGUACCGGACAAGGAAAGGAGUUUUGUCUUGUGAUUUAUGAUGCCAUUAGAUGUUGAUUGUCUAUCUGUGCAAGCUAAACAUUUCCAGUGUGCAUUCCUCACUCCUGCGUCUGUCUCCCCCAUCUGUUUUCCAACACUCACUUUCUUAAUCGCACUGAUUUUGUAUCUCUCCAGACACUAAAGGAGGAGUCCCUCAAAAGAUCAUUUCAGCUUCAUUUCAUGACCUGGCUGGGAUUUCUGGGUAGUAUGACUACUGUUUUAUCUCCUGAAAGCAUUUUUCACCAAAAGCCAAAGCAAUGAGUGAGAAAACUGUUCUCACCUGCCUUCUCAGUAACUUAUUAAUAUUCAAAGGCAAGUGAAGAAGCCAGAAUGUGUGUACUUUUACCAAGCAGGUAUAGCUUUAUCUACAGUAAGACAAACUGAUUACAUUGACAGUUUGGCAAGCUGGCUUAAAGCAUGUGCUUUCAAUUAAUUUUAAUUAGAUUGGAGUAAAAGGAAAUUUUAAUUUUGAUGUAAUUAAUGGAAACUUUGUUCGUUGUAUUUUAACUAUGUAUUUUUGAGCAAAGGUGCUCAGAACUGCCACAGGGGUUGAUAAGCCAUAUAAAACAUAGAUAAACUAUGUUAUGCAACAAGUAUACGUUUAAUUAAUUGGGGGGGGGCAGAAAUAAAUUUUUGGUUUUUACCCUGAUCUGAACUUUGUGAUCAUUCCUCCUGCUGAAGAGAAAAAAAAAAUCUUGCUAACAACAAGUUUUUCUAAAGACAACUUUUUGUUGGUAAGAUUUUGCAAUGUAAGUAUAGCCACCAGGGUCUUCAUACUAUUCUUCGCAAAUUGCUACUAACAAUUCUCAAAGGAACAAGACAGCUGUGGAUCCAAAUGACCACAGUAGAGUUCCUAAAGCAACUUCAAACAAUAUUAAAAAGAAAAGAAGGGAAAAAAAAAUCCAUUGUCUACGCUCCUGUUAGAGCUGCCCUAAUGGCAUCACAAUGUGCAUUUUAGAAAAAGCAGAAGCAGUUUUUAACAACUUCAAAUAAGUGUGUGAAAAUAGCCUUCAUCUCUCCUUAAACUGCUAAAUCUUUUUAAUGCUUCUCAAAAAAAAAAAAGAAAAAAAAAGCAGUUCCAAAUGGUUUAAUGGUUUUAAACAGCUUUGACGAAUGUGAAACUUAUCUCUCUGCUUGUAAUAUUUCCAGAAAUAGUGCUAUUAAGUUGAUUUGUGCAUGGACACAGAUCAUUAGCAAAUUGGAGCCUUUAUGUUACAAAGGUUCUAGUCGGUGUUUAACUCUUAGGGUGAAAAUCAUGUUCUAAGCAGGCAUUUAUAACAUAAACCUUGAGUUCGAUAAAAUCAGGCAUUGAUCUCUCUUGCUUCUAAUAUUCAAUGUCAUGGGCAUUGCAGGUCAGAAACUGUGUUGGUCAUUGACACAAACUUGCCUUUUGCUUAUGCCUGAAGGCAGUUAGCAUCCAUGUGCUGAACAGUCUCCUGACACCUCCUGCGGCAGAGAGGAUUUUUCCAUCUAUCCCUGACAGUCUUUUCUGCUUAUUGGAGGUGACUGUAUUCCUUGAAUUCACAUGGGAAUCAACCACAGGACCACCCACAGAUACAGUACACAAGCCCACAGAUCUGGUCCCCAGACACAAUUCAGAGCACCCAUCUACUCCCCUUCCUUCUUGUCUUUCUUUUAGUGAGAUAGUUUUAACUUUGGGCACGCAGAAACCUACAUUUUCCCUUCUGUGUCUCCUUACGAAUUCUCAGAAGAUGGGCUAUUUCAGUGCCCAUCUAGGGACCAGAGAAUAACACAGUCCACAGCUGUCAUGUCAUUCUUUUUUAUUGCUGUUUAAUUAGUCACUACCUUUUUUUUUUUCCCUGUUAAAGAAAAACAGUCAUUUGGCUUCCAUAAUAUUUCAUCAGAGUUCCAUACCAAAGCCUAAUGUCACAGUUUCUUGAAUAUAAACUAAAUGAACUAGAGCCACACAUCUAGUCUGCUACCCUUUUGUCUAGCAGAUUCAGACAGAUGGUAUCAACCAGUUGGAACACUCUUUGUUAUAAGCCAUUAAGAUGAGCAGUGGGUCAGAGCCUUAAAAAAUAGGUAAGUACGUAUUUGCUUAUAAAAUGAGUUUCUAACUACUGAACAGUAUAAUUUAGUAAAAUGGAGGCAAACUGAUUUCUGUUAUGAAACUGUUGGAAUACCAAUUUCUGACUCUGGUGAUCAGAACUAUUCUCAUUUUCAGUUAGCUUUAUUGUAAGAGUGAGUGAAUUAGCAGAGAAUGCCUUCCUUUCACUUAUGGUAGGAUAUUUCUUAGACAUCUGGAUAACUGAAGCUGAAUUUUUAAAAGCAUGCUCCAAAACUUCCACAGAUUUCAAGAGGUUUUGAUUGUGUCUUUAAAUGCCUAUCACCACUGCUGAUUUUCUUGGGUUUGAGUGAAAAGGAGAAAGAAGAGACUCUUACAAGCAAAAAGCAAUUUUGUUAAGCUAUACUUUCCUCUAGAUUUAUAUUGAUUUAGUUCAAGCUCUUCAGGACAAAGACUAUCUUUCCUUAUCUGUCUGAAAUGUAUGUACAAACAGUGAGGUCCUGUGCUAGUUGGGGUCUACAGCUUCUGUUAUAAGGCAAAAUAAUGAAUCCUACUUGGUUUAUAUUUCUAAAACAUCUUGACUUGUUGUUGCCUUUUAAACUGCAGGACCCUUGGGGCAAGGGCUGACUUAAUUUAUGAAAGAUAACAUGAUACAUGCUGUUGGAGAUUAAUUAUGAAAAAAACCCCAAAAUGUAAUGAACCCCUCCAGAGCAAGGAAACAAUUCUAAGGAAAAUUUUGCAACAGUUUUUAAAUGCUGUAUGGUAUUAGCAGUAUUAACAGCUUUAUUAUAGCCUUGUAUUAACAAGUCUUAGUGCAAUAUAUUAGUAGCAGCUGGCUCUGCAUUAAUUAUCUACUAGUUUAAAUGUGACAGCAAUAUGUAUUUAUAGUGGUCAGAAAACUUGUCAUUAUCUUAGCUAACUUUAUCUCAGUCAAAUAACUUACAGUAUUCUAAUUUGUAAUGAUAAAGUGGCACUGGUCAUCAGUAUAACUAUUUAGUAAUGCACAUUAUUUUGCCCACUGGGGUCCAGAGUGUCUUUAGGAAUGACCACUGUACAAAUACACGACAUUCAGUAUAACAUUCAACAACUACUUCAUCACCUUUAGAAAUCUGCGAAAGUGUGUCUUGCUCGCGGUUGGAUCAACGUGAUUCAAAAACCUUUAUCUUGUUGAACUAAACCAAAUAUUUUGUUUCAGAUUUGUUCAACAUUUUUCGCUGUUGCCCUGCACUGUAGCUGUGCCUUACACCCUGGUGACCAAGAUCCGUAUAGAAACAUCUCAUCAGUGGAUUACACUUCAUCAGAUGCAACUGGAGGUCUUAUCUGGUGAUUCGUAUGACGGGUGAUGUGUACCUUGUGGCACACUCAGCAAAUCUGUCCGUAGCAAAAAAUUAAUAAUGCAAGGCAUCUAAACUCUAGCUUUUGUGAGGUAUCAAGAUCAUGUCAGGGAGACAUACAUUGGUAUUGAACUUAGCUAAAAUGAAAUGCUUUGGUUUCAUUCAAAAAAUGUUAUUCAGUAUUGCAGUUUUGUUAUAUUCAGCAUUUCCUUUAGAUCAGAAAUACUAAAGUGGCAUGUUUUGACACUUCUGAACUUUGUGAUUUUCAGAAGUUUCAGUAGUCAAUGUUUGACUUUCUGUUCCAAAUUGGGAUAAAAGCAAAUAUGAAGACAGUGAAAUUUUCAGUGGGACUGAAAACACAUGUUUUUUGAGCCCUAGCUGUAUCCUCAUUCCACAUAAAAGAGUUUCAGAUAUUUGCCAGGGAUACUGAAUUUUUAUUAGUUUCACUUUAUUUCCUGACAAUAUUAAACAGUGGGGAUGCAACAUUUGUACAACUGUAAUAGGUGACUUUGUUUAUUAGCUGGCCUUCUCAAAAAUAAAAAUUUAAGCAUGUGAAAAUUAAAAUUCACAUGCUUAAUUUGAGUUUUUCUGCAGAUAUAUAAACUUGAGCCUUUCUUUUGGUAAUGAUUCUGCUUCAUUUUCCUCAGGGGAUUCAGUGUUUCUGUCUGUGGCAUCCCUGUCCCUGCACACUCCUCAAGAAGAAGAAAUUGACACUUCUGGGAAUAUCUGUGCCAUGUGGGAAUAUACUAGCUGCAGGCCUCUUUCUUGACAACAUCCUUAGGAAAGGUUCAGCCAUAGGGAUUCCUGCAGAGACUCAGGCCAGUUGAAAGUCACUUUCUGAUUAGUCUGUCAUGCUAAGGUGAAAUGUAUAAUCUGGUCUUCAGUGUCUUCUACCAUUAUGGAAACAUGAAUACUGGGAAAGAGUAGAGGUAAAAUGUCCAUACUCCAUCUUAAGGGAACAGCAAAGGAAACUAAUCCAUUUCAGUGUAUCUUCCUGGUGUGUCCCAUCCAUGUUUACAAAGAGACAUAUUUGCAAACAGUCAAGAUGUUGCUCUAGAUGAGAAAGAACUUUUUCUCAUGCCUGCCUAAAAGGUUGGAAAGUUUAUCUUGCUCCUGUAGAAAGAAGGGUGAAUGCAAUACAUUUGAUUCCAGUGAGCUGUUACCUGUAGUAUCUGCCAUAUCCUGACACCAUGACACUGAUGAAACUAUAUCACAUCUCCAACAAACCCCACCCCAUUCCUAAGGUUUCAAGAUACACUGUGUUAUUCUUCAUCUCACACACAGUACAGAGUCUCAUGGUGUCAAGGGAUAUACAACAAUGUGCAGCAACUCACAGUAUGCUGGGGAAACCUGUGUGAUUUGCUAUGCAGACAUCUCAUUCACCCCUGGGGCUUUGCUACUUGGGAACAUUUCAGACUCCACUGCAGCAGGCAGAAAGAAUUCCCUUCUCCAGUGGAGAGGCUUUCUUGCCCAUCUCAGUCUUUGUCUCAUAUCAGUCAUCUCUCCAGCAUGACAGGUAGGCUUCCUAUGUACUGGCAGCAAAGAACAGAGCUGCUCAGAUGAUGAGAUGCCUUUACCUUUGAAAGGCUGGAAAUUUGCUUUCUGAGGAGAAGAGGGGCAGCUUAAAACUGCCUUAGGCUGUGUUGGUUCUGAUGUGAGCAGUGUGCUUGCUGUAUCACUGGCCUUGUACAUCUGUGGUGAAGCUGAGGAUGCUGGGGGAAAGCCCUGCAAUGCAGACAACAUACACAUGUAUGGUUGAGAACACAUUGUAGUCAUUUUAGUCACCCAGCGCCUUUUGUAUUGUUUUCCUUUAUUUAUUUAUUUAUUUUUAAAUAAACGGGUAUAUUCAGGACCAAUGCUUACAGAUAAAAGUGGGUGUAUGACCAACUCAGGGUACAGUCAGCUGUGUUCCCAGCUGUCUUGAUCUGUGUUCAGUGAAAAGUGCUGGUGGCCUGGAAACCCUAACAAACCUUCUUGGUGGUGCUAUAUGGAGCUGCUGUGGUACACCUAGCACAUACCUCACAUUUCCCACAAAGCAGGUGCUAAAUUUUUACUAAUGCCAUGUUCUCCGUGCAGAAUUUCAACAUGCGAGAGUUGCAGUUGCAGAAAUUCUCCUGCUAUGACCCCUCUGGUAAGACCUGAGCAGCUUGCUUUGCUCUUUGACUACCUGGGAAGUUCACCAAACAAGUCAGUGGCAUGCAGCUGCUGCAGGCUCCCUGUUUUUAUUUUAUUUUAUAUUAUAUACUGAUUUUAAGUAUCAAAGGGCUCUCCCCAGAUGUAGAGCAUGGGUAUAGCCAAACCUCAGCUUUGUUUGGAAAGUAGUUUUUAAUAUCCAUCUGGAGUGUGGGUGAAGGUGAAAGUUGUCAGGCUGUGAAAAAUGGAAUUGGUGUUGGCUGACCUGAAAUAGGCUGUAAAGUUCUAUUCCUCACAAAGGCAAGAUAUAUUAUUGCUGUAACGCCAUUAUUCCGCUCCAUCACUUUUAAACCUUGUUCCCAUUAUCUGCAAGUUAAAUAUAACCCUAUGUAAAAACAGGAAGGACAGCGCUAAGUUGUCCAGCUUAACAGCACACACUUAAAACAUAAUAGAGCACUUGUUACUGUAUUUUAUGGAACGGAAACUCCAAAUGUAAAGAUGUAUUAAGGAAAUAUCUCAAAGUUAUUAGGGAAGGAUAUUUACAAUUACAGAUUGCUUUAUAUUAUGCUUUUAUGAACAUCUCAGGAAAUGAAAUAGCCCUCAGCUGUAGAGAGUGAAGAGGGAGGUAAUUUUCCUUAAUAUGGGUGAUAAAAUUAAUCUGAUUGAAAUCGCUAGCGAUUAUUUCGCAGAAUACUGAGUGGCAGUACAAUCACUUACACUCUUUUAUAUUUUUUUAGUCAAAGCUCAUGUAGAUGAAAGCUAAUUACAAAGUAGUGAUGUGAAGCGCUAAGGAAAUAGUUUGUAUAGCAUAGAACAGGCACAGCUAAUUGGGGUUUGUGAUUACACAGAUUGUUGUUAGGGAGAAUUAACUACCAGCAGUCUCUCCUGCAAAGCUUCUCAUCAAGGGAAAGUAAAAAUAGACACUGGAUCUGUUAUUUAUCUAAUUAUGCUAUGAAUAUUUUCACAAGCAUGUUACACACUCUCAAAUGGUUUGUUGUUCAAAAACUUUCAGUCUCAUGUUGCUUCUGAUCAAAGUAUCAAUAUGAAGUUUCUGACAUUUGGUUUUUUUCACUUUAUAUUGCACACUGAGUCCUCCCAUGAAAUUAUGCCUGAAUGGAACUGAAUGGUAUGAAUUUAGGCAUUUAUACCUAAUGCUGUGGCAACUGGAAUGCAUCAAAAUGAUUAUUAGAAAGGUGACUGGACAGAGAAGAUUGUUUGAGUGACCAAAGUGAGAAAAGCCAAGGAGCAGAACCGCUGUCCCAGUGGAGAACCCUAAGGAGGAAGACUGGAUACCCAUAUUUUGGAGCUGGCACCCUUCCCUUAAGUCUGGGAGUAAGUCACUCUGGCAAAGAAGCAGCAUUUCCAGAGGAUGCUGGGAUUUGUCCUCAGGAGCUGAUGUACCUUCACCUACCCACGAUGAACCCAGCUUUAACUCGGCAUUGAACUGUCUGGAACGGAAGUACAAAUUUUCCUCCUUCUGGAAUAAUAGUGACCACUUCUUGAGAUAGGGUAUUGGAUUUGUUGAUUCUUGGCUCUGACCUAGUAUGGAUAUUCUUAUCCUCCUUACAUCAGGUUGCUAUAUCAUUGAUGGGUCCUUUAGGGAAUGGAGAUAGAGAAAGCAGAACAUAUUUUACUUGGAAUUUUUUAUAUCUAAAUUUAUCCCUCAAUGCACAUGAACACAUGAAAUAAGGGGUACCCAAGUCAUGUUCUUUCUUUGCAGGCCAUCUUCACUUUAAAAAUAUCGUGUCUUAAUGAUCCUAACAAAUAAUCUCAAAGUAAUGACAUCUUCAUGUAGCAGACUGUCUUUUCUUUCUCUUGAGGAAUGCAGCUACUUUCAAGCAAAAAAUCAGCUUUGUGUCAUAGGGAGAUAAGUAGCAGAAAAACUGCAAAUACAGUGCAAUUGCUAGUGAUUGGUUGUUAGAGUCAUUUUAGAGGCCAAAAACAUCUUGCUUGGCUUCUAGUUGCCUGUAAAGAAAAGUGCAGUGCAUCUCUGCCAUAUCUACUAACCCCAUCGGGAUGCUUCUAGUACCAUGGCUAUUUGUUUUUUAUUCUUUGCAGUCUUCUGUUUUGUAAUACAAUACUUAAUAACAAUUGCCAUUUGUUUGGGUUAUUUUUUUUUUUAAAUUGGAACUCUCAAACUGCGGCACAUGGACCAGUUCUGGUCUGAAAAUCACUUUUCAGUUAUUAUAAUGGACCAAAGGACUGUUUGAUGUUGUCUCUUGACCUUGUUCCAGAUGGUAAGUGUCACUAAAAACAUCCAAAACCUCUAAAUACUUGCCUAGUAUCACAAUUGCUACUGUUGCUAGUAAGAUGCUAUAUGAGCACAAAUGGGAAGUGAGCUGGUUCAAGAGUCAACCUCUGUAAUAGGAUGUGUCAUUGCUAUGAUAAAUUCCUGUAUGGUGUGUCGUAUGUCCAGUGAAGUGAAAAAUAUUAUGAAUCUAUUUUCUGGGGUCUGAAGGUGUGAGGAAUUUCCUUGGUACUGGUGAAGAUGGACUAACUCAAGUUGCCACAGAAAAAAAGAUAUCUACUUUAAGUAGCUAUCAGGAUUUUCUGAACAGACAGAUAAAUUCUGUUUCAUGCAGACUCUGCUGAAGGAAAAUGAAGAAAAGUAUGUGUGUCACUAGAAGGGCACAUCACUAUAAAACAAAAAUGAAGAUUUUUAGUGAGGAUAUGCCAGAGCUCCAACUUGUCACCUUGUCAAAGUGAAAAGAAGGAGUCCCAUGUACCCCUGUAGGAUCUGCUCUAGGCAGCUGUUGUAUAUUCCAAGCUAUCCUAAUAAUGAACAGCCUACACUGCCAUUAGGUAAUCCAACAAUAGAGAAUUUCUCUUUUGAAAGGUGACAAAUUAUUACCUGUGUGCCACAUAUUCCUGAAAUUUUGACCCAAACUCCCUCAGCAACCUGAAUGAGUGCUUUUGUUCUUUAAAGGUGAAAAAUACUCUUCCAAAGCCCCACCACAAUCACUUAACAGCUGAAUUAACAGUCCAAAGUAUUGCUAAUCCACUGACUCAGAGGGAAGCUAAAUUCAGACCCAGUGAGGCAGAUAUCUCAUGCUGUGGAUAUUAUUUACUUUUCCUGGGUGCUCCUUGCAGUGCCUGGAAUAUCCCUCACUAACUUUAAGCAUUCUCUGUUGGCUGCUUCAUAUACUGUAGCAUCAAAAUGGUCUUGCUUCAAGCUCAAUAGGAAGCUGAAGCAUUACAGGCCUUCAAGAGGAAAGGGGAACUAAGAAACAGGAGAGUGUUGCUGCAUAACCAGGAAACUCCCACAUGAAUAAGAUUAACCAAUGUUUUCCCCAAUUUCUACCAAGUGGCUUUGAUAAAUUACUAAAUACAUAAUGUCAUUUGAUUCAAGCUAAAUUCUUUGUUGUUUUUCAAAUCCCAGUGUGAAAGAAUGCUGCUUCUGAGAAUGCUACAUGACACAGUGGGCCAACACGUUUUUACAAUAAUAAUAAUUUACAUUUUUAUUAAUAAUUUACUUUUGAAGUAUCCCAAAAUGCUUCACAAAAACAAUACAUAGAGUGCUGCAGAUUUGCUGUCUUUGGAAACAAGGCAGGCCAAGGAGGGAAAACUUUGUGAAUAAGCUUCAGCAAUCACUGUUUUUGUGAAUAAGCUUCAGCAAUCACUGUUUUAUGGAAAGUAUAUCUGGUCUUCAGUGCUUACAUAGGCAAAAUGAGUUCUCAGUUCUUUAAUGAUCAAAUUUUUAAAAGAUCAGUGGAAGAUGAUGAACUAAACCAAAUCUAUUAGGAAAGGAGGAACCUUCUUUAAAACUGCUGCUUUAAGGUCAGGAGCUUGUGGUUUAAAAGGAAUAUAUAUUCAAGCUUGAGACACAGGCUUAUGGGCUAAUGUUUAUCCAAAGUUUCCUGAUAGGAACAGCCAAAUUCUUAAUCAUUUCGCUCUGCAAUGUUGUAUUGAAGGAGAAGAAAACAGAUGUAAGGUGAUGUUUUUAGCCUUGGAUGAAACACUGUAGAACAGACACAUGCUUAGCUGCUGCUGUUUUAAGUAUCAUCCUCCAGCUUCUUGCUGAACCCAUAGAGGAUGGUGGAUAUAAGAAAUAGAUAUUUGUGCUACCUUUGAACUUUGGCAGGAAAAGAACAUUUUGAAUCAUUCCUCUAAUUCCCCAUGAGCACCCCAGAAUAUUUCCAUGCUGUUCUGCUCUUUAUCUGCCGUAUGUGUGACCCUGGAUGCCUGCCCCAUGCUUCUGCUCAUGUAAGUGACUCUAUCCUACACACACACACACACAGAGUCCUCCAUUCAGAUAAGUUUGCCAAUGUGAUUCCCUCUUUAUUCAGAAAAAAUCUCAUUGAAGUCACAACUUACAUAAGAAACCAAUACAAACUGGUAGUGACAUAAUAUCUUCCUAUGAAAUUAAGUUUCCAAAAUCCUCAGUGAAAUGAAGAUCAGUGUACCUUGUGGAUUCCUUCAGGCAGCUGUACACCAGAAAAAGACAGGACAGUAUUGGUCUAUAAGUAGGAUUUGUUCAUCUAGCUUGACCUAGAUCUGCUCCCAGUGUUUGGUCCCAGAGUUUCACAGCUCUGGCAGCAAAAUUGUCCUGCCAGGGAUUUUUGAGGGACAAAAUGCAAGAAGUAACAGAAACCUGAGCCUUGUCCUGUCAAUGCUGGCCCCUGUGUUGGAAUCCAAGAUGUAAGAUUGCAUUGCACCUACUGGUGGCCUAAUGCUCUCACACUUUUAGUCAAAACCACUAUUUCUCACUUGCCUGUGUUUUAAAUACAGGCUGUGUAGCAUAGAGGAUGGAGUAAGCCUACUGUGCUCUGCCCUGUCAGUGGCUUCAUGCCAGUCCCUUGUGUGUGAUCCUCCUACUUGCUUGCUGUUAUAACGGGUGCUAUUUCUAUUGCAAUGCUUUCCCUCAUUUCUGCUGAAAGGGUUUAUCAGAGUUUCCUUCAAAGUAAAUCGCUCCUCUGUAACCUCAUGAGGUUUUAAAAAUAUAAUUUAAAGCUAAAGCCUAGAAUCCUAUUGCUGUCUCCAUCUACUGCAAAGAAGCUGUCAAUUAGAGACACCAGGUGGGAGCAAAGAUCACUGAAACCAAAACUGAAUCAAAACAUGGAUUUUUCUGCCUGCUGAGGAGUUGGUGAACGUUUGCUAUUCUUCAGUUGGCAGAACUGAUUUAGUGUGAGGGGCAAACUAUUGCACUCUUAGAGAGUGAGGAAGAUUGUAUAUUAUAUUCCCAUACAACGGUAUCUGAGAGAGUCACAGUGAAGGUCUGAGGAAAACAAGGAGUAUCAACAGCUUUUCAGUUUUCUGAGUGGAACGGUUUAAUGCCCAAGAGGGCUACCAGAUGGCUCGGAUUCGGACCCCAAACAAGAUGUGACUUAUACUGUAAACUGGUAGAACCAGUUCUUCUCCUAGGAUCUCUAUUUUCAUUUCCAGGGUUUUGUUUAGCAGCAUCACUAGUUACAAUAGGGCACCCUCCAUUUUGGUACCUGUCACAGCUUCCUCUGGGACAGUGUAACUUCACAGCAGUGCUAAAAUAGCGUCUUACACACACACACACACACACACACACACGCAAAACCCAACACAGUGUAUUUUUUUCAGGUUUCCAAGACAAUAAGGAUAAAAUCACAAUAUCUCCAGAGCUAUGAGGCUUAGUAAUACCUUUUUAAAGUUUUCCAAACUCUCUUCCCAACUCCUCUGUCCUAACAGGGAAAAGUGUUCUCUGAUCACACCUAUCUUCUUCCCUGGCUGUAUCUACUCUCUUUUUCUCAUGUGUGUUGACUAAGACUAGCAUCAACAGCUAAGGUCCUGGAAUUGUUUCAAAUGAUUCAGGAGAUCUAAGGUUGACAUGGAUAAGAGGGAGGCAGCUCUACCAAACACCUCUACGAAACUUG